GAUGAACGCUAGCGGCAGGCUUAACACAUGCAAGUCGAGGGGUAUUGGUUUUCGGACCAAGAGACCGGCGCACGGGUGCGUAACGCGUAUGCAAUCUACCUUUUGCAGAGGGAUAGCCCCAGAGAAAUUUGGAUUAAUACCUCAUAGUAUAGUACUUUGGCAUCAAGGAACUAUUAAAGUCACAACGGCAAAAGAUGAGCAUGCGUCCCAUUAGCUAGUUGGUAAGGUAACGGCUUACCAAGGCUACGAUGGGUAGGGGUUCUGGAGAGGGAGAUCCCCCACACCUGGUACUGAGACACGGACCAGACUCCUACGGGAGGCAGCAGUGAGGAAUAUUGGACAAUGGGCGCAAGCCUGAUCCAGCCAUGCCGCGUGCAGGAUGGACGGUCCUAUGGAUUG
rnacentral:rRNA from 1 species